UUUUUUGGCCAAAACUCCUUAUCAAAGCCUGAUCUCGUCAGACUUCAGAAGCUAAGCAGGGCCAGGCCUGGUUAGUACUUGGAUGGGAGACCCUUGAGAAUGCCAGUGGCUAAAUGGU
rnacentral:rRNA from 1 species